rnacentral:misc_RNA from 1 species
GAAAUGCGAUAAGUAGUGUGAAUUGCAGAAUUCAGUGAAUCAUCGAAUCUUUGAACGCACAUUGCGCCCCUUGGUAUUCCAUGGGGCAUGCCUGUUCGAGCGUCAUUUGUACCCUCAAGCUCUGCUUGGUGUUGGGUGUUUGUCCCCGUCUCCGCGCCCCCAUUACCCCCUCGGCGGGACGGUCGGAAGCCCGCAGCGUUGCGACACCCGUUCGCUCCGGAGGACCGCCGCCCGCGCCGUUAAAACUCUUCAUCACAGGUUGACCUCGGAUCGGGUAGGGAUACCCGCUGAACUUAAGC